GCUACAGUACUGUAUUUCAGCUAAUGCGGGCAAUUUAGAACAAAACAUUUUAUGAACUAGAGGCUAACAUGAGCUGGAGUGUCUCGCCAUGGCCAGUAUUUACCAUUAAGAUAACUUUUCAACUUUUUGGAACAAGAACGUGUCCAUAGUACACGGAUGCCCAACUCGCACCAUCAUUUUAUAUGUUCAGUGGGCCGUGAAAUAUGGGUCAAAACUCUAAUAAGGCAUUGAAAUUAGAAAGAUAAUAUCAUAAGGAACAUGUGUACUAAGUUUCAAGUUGAUUGGACUUCCACUUCAUCAAAAACUACCUUGACCAAACUUUUACAUAAAGUGGGACGGACGGAAAAACGAACGUACAGACCUAAGAACAUAUUACUUUUUUUUUAUAUUGGGCAUACGAUUGGUCUUUCUAUUGGAUUGCUUUAAUUUUUAAAUUUCAUAACACCAACCUUUAAAGUACUAUUUUGCAAAUUGUGUUUUAAAUUCACAUAACAUAGCGUUUCAAAAGCAUAAUAUUUUGAAAACAUUAAUGAAAUUUAAUAAAUGACAAAAACAACGUUGUACACUAUGAGAAAGUGUAGGGCGAGAAAGUGGCAAAAGUGGGUGGGGAGAACUUUGGAGGAAAAAGAUGAAUGUGGGUUUGAAACAGGGAGCACGUUGGUGGGGAAAAAGAGAAAGUGAGUUCGAGACCGGGAGAAAGUGAGUGUGAGACUAGGAGAUAGUGGGUAGGGGACACGGAGAUAUUUGGGUCAGAAGCAGUAGGGAAAAGGAGAAAAUGGGUAGGAGACGGGGAGAUAGUAAAGUGGGUGGUAGAAAGUGGAUGUCAGACAGGGAGAAUAUGGGUGGUAGAAAUUGGCAAGAGGAAAAAGGAGAAAGUAAAUGUGAGACAGGAAUAAAGUUUGGAGACAGAAAAGCGAGGUGGGAAAGGAUAAAGUGGGUGGUAGACAGUUGCUGGGGUAAAAGGAGAAAGUGGAUGGGAGACAGGGAGCAAUGGGUGAGAGACAGGAAUAAAGUUGUUUAGAGACAGAAAAGUUGGGUGGGAAAGGAGAAAGUGGGUGCUGUGGUAAAAAGAAAAGUGGAUGGAAUACAGGGAGAAAGCGGAUGGUAGACACUUGCUAGGGUAAAAAGAGAAAGUGGGUUGGAGACAGGGAGAAAGUGAGUGGUAGAAAGUGAGUGGUAGAAAGGGGCAAGAGGAAAAAGGAGAAAGUGGGGGAGACAGGGAGAAAGUGAGUGGUAGAAAGUGGCAAUAGGAAAAAGGAGAAAGUGGGGGAGACAGGGAGAAAGUGGUGGUAGAAAGAGGCAAGAGGAAAAAGGAGAAGUGGGAGAGACAGGGAGAAAGUGAGUGAUAGAAAGGGGUAAGAGGAAAAAGAAGAAAGUGGGGGAGACAGGGAGAAAGUGAGUGGUAGAAAGUGACAAGAGGAAAAAGGAGAAAGUGGGGGAGACGGGGAGAAAGUGGUGGUAGAAAGAGGCAAGAGGGAAAAGGAGAAGUGGGAGAGACAGGGAGAAAGUGAGUGGUAGAAAGGGGCAAGAGGAAAAAGGAAAAAGUGGGGGAGACAGGGAGAAUGUGAGUGGUAGAAAGUGGCAAGAGGAAAAAGGAGAAAGUGGGGGAGACAGGGAGAAAUAUGGUGCUAGAUAGUUGCUGGGGUAAAAGGAAAAAGUGGAUGGGAGACGGGGAGAAAGUGGAUGGUAGAAAGUGGCAAGAAGAAAAAGGAGAAAAUAGAUGGGAGACAGAGAGAAAGUGAGUGGUAUAAAAUAGGCAAGAGGAAAAAGGAGAAAGUGGGGGAGACAGGGAGAAAGUGAGUGGUAGAAAGUGACAAGAGGAAAAGGAGAAAGUGGAUGUGAGACUCUCACUGGGGGAAAUGGAGACCGGGUGAAAAUGGGUUGUAGACGGUGGCUGGGGAAAAGGAGAAAGUGAGUGGUAGACGGUGGCUGUGUGGAAUGAUAAAGUUGGUGGGAGGCAGGAUACAGUAGGUUGGGAAAAGGAAAAAGC
rnacentral:lncRNA from 1 species